rnacentral:misc_RNA from 1 species
AACGCAAAUUGCGCUCGAGGCCUCCGGGUCGAGAGCAUGUCUGCCUCAGCGUCGCUCAUACCAAAUCGGCUCCUCCCCUUUGAAUAAAAGUGGGAGGGUGCCGGAUCUGGCCGUCCGGUUGUUCAGGCCGGUCGGCUGAAGGGAUUGCUCCGCUCGCAGCCUCCCUUUAAUGGGAAGGAGCCAGCCGGUAAGCAUGACCCUCUCCUGUUGGAGUUGGCCUGGCCUGCCGUUGAGCUCUGGUUGUGGGUUUGUAAGGAGUUGACAGGAACCACUUUUGAACAUCGACCUGAGAUCAGGCAAGGACACCCGCUGAACUUAA